rnacentral:rRNA from 1 species
CUAUACAUGCAAGUCGAGCGGACAGAUGGGAGCUUGCUCCCUGAUGUUAGCGGCGGACGGGUGAGUAACACGUGGGUAACCUGCCUGUAAGACUGGGAUAACUCCGGGAAACCGGGGCUAAUACCGGAUGGUUGUUUGAACCGCAUGGUUCAAACAUAAAAGGUGGCUUCGGCUACCACUUACAGAUGGACCCGCGGCGCAUUAGCUAGUUGGUGAGGUAACGGCUCACCAAGGCAACGAUGCGUAGCCGACCUGAGAGGGUGAUCGGCCACACUGGGACUGAGACACGGCCCAGACUCCUACGGGAGGCAGCAGUAGGGAAUCUUCCGCAAUGGACGAAAGUCUGACGGAGCAACGCCGCGUGAGUGAUGAAGGUUUUCGGAUCGUAAAGCUCUGUUGUUAGGGAAGAACAAGUACCGUUCGAAUAGGGCGGUACCUUGACGGUACCUAACCAGAAAGCCACGGCUAACUACGUGCCAGCAGCCGCGGUAAUACGUAGGUGGCAAGCGUUGUCCGGAAUUAUUGGGCGUAAAGGGCUCGCAGGCGGUUUCUUAAGUCUGAUGUGAAAGCCCCCGGCUCAACCGGGGAGGGUCAUUGGAAACUGGGGAACUUGAGUGCAGAAGAGGAGAGUGGAAUUCCACGUGUAGCGGUGAAAUGCGUAGAGAUGUGGAGGAACACCAGUGGGCGAAGGCGACUCUCUGGUCUGUAACUGACGCUGAGGAGCGAAAGCGUGGGGAGCGAACAGGAUUAGAUACGCUGCUA